rnacentral:rRNA from 1 species
AGCGAACGCUGGCGGCAGGCCUAACACAUGCAAGUCGAACGAACCCUUCGGGGUUAGUGGCGGACGGGUGAGUAACACGUGGGAACGUGCCUUUAGGUUCGGAAUAACUCAGGGAAACUUGUGCUAAUACCGAAUGUGCCCUUCGGGGGAAAGAUUUAUCGCCUUUAGAGCGGCCCGCGUCUGAUUAGCUAGUUGGUGAGGUAAAGGCUCACCAAGGCUACGAUCAGUAGCUGGUCUGAGAGGAUGACCAGCCACAUUGGGACUGUGACACGGCCCAAACUCCUACGGGAGGCAGCAGUGGGGAAUCUUGCGCAAUGGGCGAAAGCCUGACGCAGCCAUGCCGCGUGGAUGAUGAAGGUCUUAGGAUUGUAAAAUCCUUUCACCGGUGAAGAUAAUGACUGUAGCCGGAGAAGAAGCCCCGGCUAACUUCGUGCCAGCCGCCGCCGCGGUAA